GCCUGCCCAGUGAACAUAUUAAACGGCCGCGGUAUCCUAACCGUGCAAAGGUAGCGCAAUCACUUGUUCUUUAAAUAAGGACCUGUAUGAACGGCACCAUGAGGGUCAACUUGUCUCUCAUGAUAAGUCAAUGAAACUGAUCUUCCAGUACAAAAGCUGGAAUAAUCCCACAAGACGAGAAGACCCUGUGGAGCUUAAAACUUCAACUCACUAAAAUUGACCUUGCAGUUUUUAGUUGGGGCGACUUUGGAGACAAACCAAACCUCCAAACACCACCUUCCGGCCACAAGCCUAAAUCACACUAAACCCACGACCCAAUACACUUGAUCAAUGAACCAAGUUACCCCAGGGAUAACAGCGCAAUCUUCUCCUAGAGUCCCUAUCGAAAAGAAGGUUUACGACCUCGAUGUUGGAUCAGGAUAUCCUAAUAGUGCAGCCGCUAUUAACGGUUCGUUUGUUCAACGAUAAAAAUCCUACGUGAUCUGAGUUCAGACCGG
rnacentral:rRNA from 1 species